GACGUAGGGGGCCAGCGUUGUUCGGAAUUACUGGGUGUAAAGGGUUCGUAGGCGGUGUAGCAAGUCGGGAGUGAAAUCUCUGGGCUUAACCCAGAGGCUGCUUCCGAAACUGCUGUGCUUGAGUGUGGGAGAGGCGCGUGGAAUUGCAGGUGUAGCGGUGAAAUGCGUAGAUAUCGAGAGGAACACCUGCGGCGAAGGCGGGUUGCUGGGCUGACACUGACGCUGAUGCGCGAAAGCCAGGGGAGCGAACGGGG
rnacentral:rRNA from 1 species